GCACAGUGCUGUGAAAAGGAAGAAAACAACUCGAUUUCAUCGUUGUGAAUUUAACGUUCUUCCUUCCACCCAUGAUCAGUAAGUGGAACCAGACGUAAACAAUGGGCAACCAACUAACUGGGAUUGCUCCGUCUCAGAUUCUUCCAGUGGAGCAGUACCUGUCAGAUGUUCCUGACUAUGAAUUUGAGACUAACCAAGGAAGCACAAGGUUUUUCAAAGUGGCAAGGGCACGCUGCAAAGAGGGACUUGCAAUUGUUAAAGUUUUUGUUAUCCACGAUCCAUCACUACCCCUGUCAACCCAUAGGGAUAAGCUAGACGAAAUAAGUCAGCGUCUGAAAGGAACGUCAAACUGCCUUCCAUUUCAAAAAGCAAUUCAAUCUGAGAAAGCUGCAUUGCUUUUCCGACAGUAUGUUAAGGACAGUUUGUACGAUAGGAUCAGCACCCGGCCGUUCCUCAACAGUAUUGAGAAGAAGUGGAUUGCGUUCCAGAUGUUGUGUGCCCUUAAUCAGUGCCACAAAGUCAAGGUUUGCCAUGGAGAUAUUAAGUCUGAAAACAUCAUGAUCACUGGCUGGAACUGGGUGUUGAUCACAGACUUUGCCAGCUUCAAACCAACAUACUUACCAGAAGAUAAUCCAUCAGACUUCUCUUACUUCUUUGACACGUCCCGACGCCGGACAUGUUACAUUGCACCAGAGAGGUUUGUGGAGAGUGGCUUGAAGAACACUGACAAUGCUGGUCAAUCAGGGAACAUCGAUCUGACCUCAAGUGAGGUCAAGACUGGUGAUCUUAAUCCUGCCAUGGACAUAUUUUCACUCGGUUGUGUUAUCACGGAGCUGUUCACAGAGGGUACCUCACCAUUCGAUCUGUCCCAGUUGCUGGCAUACAGGAGUGGAGAGUACAGUCCCUGGAAGAUUCUUGAGAAGAUCGAAGACCCAAGCAUCAGAGAGUUAGUCCGUCACAUGAUGCAGAAGGAUCCGAACCAUCGACUCUCAGCGGAGGAGUAUUUGAUCAAGCAACGCGGAAAGGCCUUCCCUGAGUACUUCUACACAUACCUGAAGCUGUACCUGCAGAAGUUUGCUGUGUCUCCCAUUGUACCCGCUGAUGACAGGAUUCACUGUAUUUCAGUAUCAAUGACCUUUGCAUUGUUUCAUUAUCAGAAUGUCUCAAAGAGUCUGAAGAUAGAUGAUACGGACGUGGAGAGGAACAAUGCACUUGUCCUGCUUAUCUCCCUUGUUGGCUCCAGUUCACGGGAUAUACAUUUCUAUGAAUCACGGCUGACAGGACUGGAUUUACUGCUGCAAUUGUCCAAAUAUGUCAGUUCGGACAUCAUCCUGGAUAGAAUCAUACCAUAUAUGCUGCACUUUGCUAAUGACCCGUUUCCCCGUGUUCGUGCCAAGACCAUUGAGACAAUCACAGACUGUCUCUCAGACAUCAAGAAUGUCCCAAGGAGUGACUCCAAUGUCUUUCCAGAGUAUAUUUUCCCAAAUCUUACCCACCUGGUUCAUGAUGAAGUUGCUCUAGUGAGGGCAGCAUAUGCUGAAAACAUAGCACAUUUGGCAGAAACAGCUCUCAGAGUUUUGGAGAUGACCCAACUGCAAGAGCUGUCAGAGAUUGACAUACAGGAAGACUCUGAAGACUCCCAGUAUAUGCUGGAGUCAAGCUACGAUGUGGAGCUUCAGACGCUGCAGGAAACGAUACAACAGAAAGUGGUCACUCUGCUGAGUGACCCAGACAACCUGGUCAAGCAGACACUCCUGCAGUCAGGCAUCACUCGACUGUGUGUCUUCUUCGGCAGACAGAAAGCAAAUGAUGUCCUGCUUUCUCACAUGAUCACAUUUCUGAAUGACAAGUAUGACUGGAAACUACGAGGUUCAUUCUUUGAAAAUAUUGUGGGCGUGGCAGCCUAUGUGGGCUGGCAGAGUUCAUCUAUCCUGAAACCUUUGUUAGAACAGGGCCUGAGUGAUCCAGAAGAGUAUGUUGUCCACAAGGCGCUUGGGGCCAUAAAGUCUCUGUCAGAACUUGGUCUGCUACAGAAGCCCAUGCUGCAGGAGUUUGUUCAGGAGAUAGUCCCUUUCCUUGCUCACCCGGGCAUCUGGAUCCGGCAGGGUGCAGUCGGAUUUGUUGCUGCGGUGGCUCGGAUCAUGAACAUUGCGGACCUCCACUGUAACCUCCUCCCGCAGGUGGCCCCCUUCCUUAAACAACAGGUGCUCCAGCUGGAUAAGGGGCCUAUAGUGCUGAAUGCACUAGAUGAACCCAUCCCACGGACUGUGUUCGACUAUGUGUUGAGGUCGACAUCCAUCGAUGCCAUGUUUGAAACCCUCAACAACAGGAAGUACAUCCGGAGCAUCAGCAGAUCUGGACACAGACCCGGUUACCCCGAACUGGAGGAGAACCUGGCUCAGGUUUUCCGUAAGCUGACAUCACUGGGCAUGACUGAGACCCAUGAGACAAAACUUCUGGCCAUGAAAGAUUUCAUAACCAAACUGCAUCGAUCAAGAGCUGGGUCCAUGGAGAACUCCGCAUCCAGCAACAGUGAGGAGGGUCAGCGGGCGGGGGUGCUUGCCUUACAGCACGUCCCCUACACUGGCCGCUUCCUCACUCGCAGGCAUGCAGACCUACACAAGGCUAAGGAUCAAACCACGGAUGGACAGACUUCACCGGGAACGCGGCGCAAAAAGAAGGUUGUUCAUCAGGAUUCUUCUGCUGCUAUGAAUGCUGAAUGGAAGAAGAUGUUUGGUUCCUCGGAAUCAGAGAAGUCUCUCUCCUCGUCCCCAAAGUCUAAGUCAGGAGGGGACAAAUACGACCUUGACAAGCGGUCCACAUCAACACUGUCCAGCCAAUCAGCAUCCAGUAGUAUGGUGAACGUGUCCCAUGUCUCGUCCAGUGGGGAGGCAGGCCUGAAACGCUCCACUAGCCAGCAGCCGGCCGACAAGCAGUCCCACCAGACUCGAUAUGCGUCAUGUAAGUGGGAUCUCCGUGGCCUGGUCCACAAGCGACGAGAGCAGUACAAGGUGGAUGUCCUCACCAAGGACCUCCUCGAGGGCAUCGCCUGGGACAGCCGGCCGCCACCUGACAACUGGAAACCUCGAGGUCUGUUGGUAGCACAUCUCCAGGAACAUAGGGCUGCAAUCAACAGAAUCCAAGUGUGCCAUGAUCACAGCUACUUUGCCACCUGUUCCAAUGACGGCUCAGUGAAGCUAUGGGAGUGUUCCAGGCUGGAAGGGAAGAGUGUGGUCAAUCGGUCAAAACACACGCUCACCAAGCAAGGUGGUAGGAUAAAGUGUCUGACAUUCUGUGAGGCGUCACACGCCGUAGCCUCAGCUUCAGACAAUGGCACCAUACACGUCAACAAGAUAACAACGGAUAGAGUCCAGCCAGAGGAACAGAUCAAUGUGGACAUUGCCAAACAUGGUCAUGUGGUCGACCUUACUCACUUUGAUACAGGGGCUCAGUCAGUGUUAGCAUAUGCAACAGUGAAUGGCCACCUGAUUGGUUGGGACCUGCGAGCUAACCGGGCUGUGUGGGAGCUGAAGAACAACCCCCGUGAUGGCCUCAUCACCAGCUUUGCUGUGAACCACACCCAGUGUUGGCUGGCCCUGGGGACCAGCAGUGGAGCCCAGGUGUGCUGGGACAUGAGGUUCCAGCUGCCCAUCAACACCAUCACCCACCCUGCCAAUGCCCGUGUUCGGAAGCUGAUCAUGCAUCCCAAGGAUCAGCCAUGGAUUGUGUCAGCUUUCCAGUGGAACAACGAAGUAUCUAUGUGGGAUGUGGAGACUGGAGCCAGACAGAAGUCUUUGUGGGCCAGUGCAGCUCCCCCACUCUCCAUCUCACAGAACAACAAUCAUGCUGUGCAUGGGAUGCACAUCGCAGCCACAGACACCAAACUGUUCCUGUUGACGGGAGGCUCGGACAUGAGAGUGAGAUUCUGGGACCUGACAUACCCAGCCAACUCAUUUAUCAUGAGUCACGACUGAGCGGUAGACUUGCCCAAUGUCUCCUACAGCUACAGGUAGGAACAGUAGACUUGCCCAAUGUCUCCUACAGCUACAGGUAGGAAGAGUAGACUUGCCCAAUGUCUCCUACAGCUACAGGUAGGAACAGUAGACUUGCCCAAUGUCUCCUACAGCUACAGGUAGGAACAGUAGACUUGCCCAAUGUCUCCUACAGCUACAGGUCUCAGCUGAUAGACGGUACGGAGGUGAUUCAGGAAGUAUGUACAAAGAAACAAGCCAACUCGGAUGACAUUCCGAGACGUGUUCCUGAAGCUCCUCCCACCGGCCAUCACGACAUCAUCAGCGACGUCAACAUCUGUCAGUCAUCGCAGUGUCUCGUCAUCACAGGAUCGAGAGAUGGAGUCAUCAAAGUGUGGAAAUAAAUAUGUUUAUAUCAAGGCCAUUGUCCUUACCUCUUUCCAGGUUCCAAGACAUUUAUUCUAACAUCAAGGCCAUUGUCAGUAUCCCUUUCCAGGUUCUAAGACAUUAUUAGGGAUCAAGUCAGAAUGAGUUGGAUGAACUCUUUGGCACAAUUUGUUUCCUUUUUUCCUGGCCUGGCAAGAAGUCAAUUUUAUUAUCUACAAGAACCUGUUCAUUUAAUGUCUUAUUGUUGACAAUGAAACUAUUAGUGUAAAGUAAAUUAUUUUAUAGGACUUAAGUCUAUUUUUAUGAAGUGCUAAACUUGGAAAAUUCGACAACAAUGUAGCUGAAGUUUUGUAAGUCUACUUGCAAUAAUUCAUAAGGGUUGUGUCCAAUUAGUAUUGAUGAUGGUGAUUUGAUUUCCUGUAUAAUUGAUUGAAAGCAAGAAGAAAGAAUGGGAUUACUUUGUUAUUUGUAAAUCAAAUUAAUAAUAGUAAUUUUGCACUAUUUUUGAUCAACUGUUUAUGUGCUGACAGUAUAAUCAUUCCAGUUUGAUAUCCAAAUGUCCUCAUGUGGUUAAUUUAUGUACCUGAUGCAAGUGCAAUAUUGAAUUUCUGUUUUGUACAAAAUAUACAAACUUAAUAUUCAUAUGAACAAGACUGUGUCAUAUGAACAAGACCAGUAUGAAUGCUGUUGUAUUGUCCUUGGACCUGGGCCUAGAUUUUCGAAGCUCUCUUAACGCUAAGAUAGUCUUAAAUGCCAUACAUUAACAUUGACUUACGACUAUCUUAGCGCUAAGAGAGCUUCGAAAAUCAAAGCCCUGAUCCACAAAGUGAUCUUAGUACAAAGAUUCUGUAAGUUUAUGGGAGUUAAGAUCAUGUUAUGGCUAAGAUACCUUUGUGGAAGAGGACCCAGGAAUGUGUAGUUAUUGAUAAGAGAUUGGGCUGUGUUUGUGUGUAUUCCUGGGUAUGUAUUGUAACGAGAGAGAUGAUAUACCAGGUAAUCAUUACCUUAAAUUAUGUUUAUAUGUCAGUGAGAUUGAUAUGACAAUGUGUUUCCAAACCUGAAUGUUUAAUAUCAGGAUGGUUUAUUGGUCGGGAAACAGUUUUGUAAGUUUUGAGUUGUUAUGUAAAAAGUGUAUAUAUUAAAACAAACUGAAGUUAAA